rnacentral:rRNA from 1 species
UACGUAGGGUGCAAGCGUUAAUCGGAAUUACUGGGCGUAAAGCGUGCGCAGGCGGUUUUGUAAGACUGUCGUGAAAUCCCCGGGCUUAACCUGGGAAUGGCGAUGGUGACUGCAAGGCUAGAGUUUGGCAGAGGGGGGUAGAAUUCCACGUGUAGCAGUGAAAUGCGUAGAGAUGUGGAGGAAUACCGAUGGCGAAGGCAGCCCCCUGGGAUAACACUGACGCUCAUGCACGAAAGCGUGGGGAGCAAACAGG